AAUGUUUCAUGUGGAAGUGCUUCAGGCUAACAGUGCACAACUGCUACUACAGCAGGCUGGAGUCUCCAAAAGACUCGUGCACAACUGAAAUCAUCCCCAGUUUCUGUAGCGUGUUGACGUCUGGAAAACAGUUCUUGGAGUUGUGGUGCAAUUAAUCAAAACUGCCCCCCCUUGUGGUGCUGCAGGGUCGUGUUGAGCCCCCCUGGAGAAGCAGUUAGACCACAGCAGCCCAUGCAGGCUGCCACCUCCUCCAGCCCGCAUGUGCUGCACGCUCGCUCUGGGCUGUCAGCAUGAGGCUGCAUCCAGCUGGAGCUUCGUUUCUGCAAACAGCAUUUUACUAAUUAGCCAAAAGUCGUCAAAAUAGCGCGAAUGUUCAUUUCAUUGGGUAGAUGAAGUAGCACUUGUCAAGCAUCAGGUCGUGAGGUCGAUAAAUAAUCAGCAUCUACAGGAAAGGCUUCAGAGAAGCAGCAGAAGAAGAGAGACGUUGUGACUCUUCCACAACCAGCCGGGCCGAAUGUGUCACAGGCGGCGGCGUAGUUAUGACCUCGUUACGUUUUUGUCUCGACCUUGAGAGAGCGGUCAUAAUGGCUACCCUGAUUUAGAACUCAGAGAAAGUGAACGAUGAUUGUUGCCCACACCGUGCCGGGAAAAGUGUUUCCGUUCACAGGGUUUUAUUCCAUUUGCAGUUCUGUGAGUUUUUUUCAACUCUUUCAGCUUCACAUCCGACACAAACGGUGUUGAGAAGAUCGGCCGUGUCGCUAACUAGUCACGAGCUUCAUUGAUGAGUGGACUGUCGACCUCUGACCCCUCAAAGUGCUUCUACAGUCUGCCUUCAUCCAGCGGGGGCAGAGACCAACUCGCCGGUGCCUCGUGCUCAUUGGGAGAAACCAGUUUUUGGUUAUUGUGUUCACACACUCGGAGAACUUUUGACUGGGAAAAGCUGCUGGAUCACAGGCCGGUACAAAAAGCUUUAAUGAGGAAAACGCCGUCAGCGGAUGACAACAGAACUCGCUGGAGUCUGCGAGAGGCUCUUUUGAUGGAUAAUUCGGAAAAUAAAAACAUAAGAACUCGGGCCAACUUGCACGAUCAAUUAUAACCCACGAAAAUAAAUGUUUUAAAUUUGCCCUCUUUGCUGCUGCACUGCUUUAAAUGGCUCUUCCCUUAUCUGUG
rnacentral:lncRNA from 1 species